GUUGCUUCCAGGUUUGGGGUUAAAUGCCUAUUGUACUAUGUACAAGGACCAGUGUAAGGAACCGAGUUCGAGCCCCUGCUCCCCACCUGAAGCUGGAUGCUCUACGAGAGGUGAAGCAGGUCUUCAGAUGGAGGAUCUGCCAUCAAGGACCUCAGUGCACUUUACAAAUGUCAUGAAUCAUCAAAGCCCUUCUGUAAUGGAGAGCUUCAUACUGACACUGUGAGCAAGAAAGUCAAAUCAACUAAGGUAGUCCGAAGUUGUAUCACUGCUGUCACCGUUUCAUUCUUCUUGACAAUAUAGAGAAAUCAAGUCAAAAUUCCUUCAAGUUUGGAGUUCCUAAGCAAAACAUUUAAGAAAACAACACCCUUCAAGUCCUUUGUUUUCUUAGGAAAUUAUGCCACAUUAACUGCUC